GACAGCAGCCGCCGCGGGAAUACGUAGGGUGCAAGCGUUAAUCGGAAUUACUGGGCGUAAAGCGUGCGCAGGCGGUUUGUUAAGACAGAUGUGAAAUCCCCGGGCUCAACCUGGGAACUGCAUUUGUGACUGGCAAGCUAGAGUGUGGCAGAGGGGGGUGGAAUUCCGCGUGUAGCAGUGAAAUGCGUAGAUAUGCGGAGGAACACCGAUGGCGAAGGCAGCCCCCUGGGCCAACACUGACGCUCAUGCACGAAAGCGCGGGGAGCAAACAGGAUUAGAUACCCGCGUAGUCCCUGUCUCUUAUAC
rnacentral:rRNA from 1 species